UAGACGCUACGGACUUAAAUCCGUCGACUUUAGAAAUCGUGAGGGUUUCAGUCCCUCUAUCCCCA
rnacentral:tRNA from 1 species